rnacentral:rRNA from 1 species
UACGUAGGGUGCAAGCGUUGUCCGGAAUUACUGGGCGUAAAGCGUGCGCAGGCGGUUUUGUAAGUCUGUCGUGAAAUCCCCGGGCUCAACCUGGGAAUUGCGAUGGAGACUGCAAGGCUAGAAUCUGGCAGAGGGGGGUAGAAUUCCACGUGUAGCAGUGAAAUGCGUAGAGAUGUGGAGGAACACCGAUGGCGAAGGCAGCCCCCUGGGUCAAGAUUGACGCUCAUGCACGAAAGCGUGGGGAGCAAACAGG